UGGGGAAUAUUGGACAAUGGGCGAAAGCCUGAUCCAGCCAUGCCGCGUGUGUGAAGAAGGCCUUCUGGUUGUAAAGCACUUUAAUCGAGGAGGAGGAUACGUGGAUUAAUACUACAGGAUAGUGGACGUUACUCGCAGAAAAAGAACCGGCUAACUCUGUGCCAGCAGCCGCGGGAAUACAGAGGGUGCGAGCGUUAAUCGGAUUUACUGGGCGUAAAGCGUGCGUAGGCGGCUUCUUAAGUCGGAUGUGAAAUCCCUGGGCUUAACUUAGGAAUUGCAGUCGAUACUGGGAAGCUAGAGUAUGGGAGAGGAUGGUAGAAUUCCAGGUGUAGCGGUGAAAUGCGUAGAGAUCGGGAGGAAUACCGGUGGCGAAGGCAGCCAUCUGGCCUAAUACUGACGCUGAGGUACGAAAGCAUGGGGAGCAAACAGG
rnacentral:rRNA from 1 species